GGUUACUAAGGUUUAAAAGUGGUCUUCCAUCCCAGAGCCCUGCCGGCCAACACGGACUACAUCUUGUUGGAGUUUUACUCACGUCUGUGGGCCCAGUGUCUGGGAGUCACUGUUCACUGGAAUAUGCUUCCACUCCCCUCUCCAUCGGGGUGUGACACCUGUCUCUGCCUGAUCCAAACCAUCAUGGAACUGCAAAUAUGGAUCUCCAUCUGCCAAGUUAGAUAUCAAGAAUAGUGCAUAGAUUUGAUAAUUACAGUGGGUACUGUCACCAGUACCUCAACAGAUGCAGAGUUGGACUCCAUUAGUUGUGUUUUCCCACCUGUGGCUGUGGCUGCUCAUCCUCAACACCUGCUUUCCUCUGCCUAUAACUCAGACAGGCUGGGCUUUAUAGGACCUUUAAUGCUUUCUGGGAUGGGAAACAUGCUUUUGGUUUAGAUGGGCUCCACUGAAACAAAUCUGGGACUGCCAUACUGUCCACUAACAAAUCACGCAGUGUACACCAUACCCAAAAGACUCCAGCAAGUAUUUCUCCACAACUGCCCACACGUGUCAACCAAUCCAUCAGUGAUUAGAAAAAAAAGUAGAUCCUAGUUCCUAUGAUCUCACUUCCACUCUGAACACUGAUACAUGUUCAACUCUGAUAAUAUUUUUGAUAUUCCUGUCCUAAGAACUAAAAGUCUGCUGUGUCAUCCAAUUUAUGAAGUAUUCACGUACAAACUAAAUUUUUAUUUCUACCUCCAUACAGCCUGGUUAAGUUUGGUUUUCUUGGUGUUAGAUGACUUCAUAGUAAACUGGUUUUAUAACUUGAAAUGAGCUUGUGAGGUGAAUGAUGCGUGCAGGUUUGAGGCGCUGGGUUUUAAAGUAAAGUGUAAAACCCCUGAUGUCUGUGCAGAUAUUGACCACCCUGCUAGGACUAGGUAAGCUUUUUAUUUAUCAUCCAUGGUUCUUUUGUGUGAUUGAAUCACUUAAGCUGGUGAUUUUAGUGCCCAUGUUGACAAUCGUACUGACUCAGUCACUACCAGUUCCUCAUGAAACUGAAGCCAUGUGAUUCAAAACAGCAUUCUGUUGGGCCUACAUGUAAUCGUGGGCAUACUUUGAACUUGGUGUUUACACGUGUCUUCAGUUUUAACUCCAUAAUUUUAUAUUUUAUUAUUUAUUUCGACAGACAGGUACAGUAUCAGAAAGUGUUAAUCGUUAUCUAAGAAAGCAACAGGCCUUUUAAGGUUACACAGAGCAUCCACUUGUUUGUGUUGGACACUGAAAUAUGUUGAUUAAAGUGGAAUUACCGAAGAAAGUCAACAUUUCAAAGCUGACGAGAGGCACCCAGAAUGGCUAACUGAAGAAUGGACAGUCCUGAUGCCUAAGGAUCUCCAGAGGGGACCAGUUCCAUUCAACUACCAGCCAAUAACUUUCUUAGCACAACAUGGAAGCUCCUGUCGCAUCAUAGUGGUGAAGAUGAACAGGCACAUGGUUCAGUACAUGACCAGGGCACAGAAAGGAAAUGGCAGGAAUAUCAGAAGAGUGAAACACACCUGGAUCCUGGAAUGGAAAACAUUCAGAAAUUGUAUCCGUUCUGUCACUAGUUAGCUAUCAUAAACUGAUUAAAGUCUACAACUACUGACGCAAGAUGGCACUGCGCAUGUUCGACAAACUUUAACUAUAAACACUUACUUCUCAAAUCCAACUUCACAGACAGAGUUAUAUCUAUGACAGGUUUUGGGAACAGGGAUCCGUGGCGUAAAUAAGCCUUUGUAUAUGUAGUGUUUCCUGUUCACCUUCUGCUUUCAUCUGGAAAGCAUCUGAACCAGACGGUGUUUCCGAAAAGGUGCUCAGGGCCAGUGCUGACCAGCUGUUACAGGUCUUCACAUGAAUUUUCUGUUGCUUCUUGACACAGGCUUUCAUCCCAGCCUGCCUGCAGUCCACUUUACCCCCCAAAAUAAUCUGCCAACAGCCUCAAUCACUUCUGCCCCAUUGCACUUGCACCUAUCAUCACUAAGUGCCUGGAACGUCUGGUCCUAACCACCGAGGCCAACCUUCCUCGCUUUCUAGACCCCUGCCUGUUUGCCUAUGGAGCAAAUAUGUUGACAGAGGACACAAUAGUCAUCAUGCUUCAUACCAUGUGGAGCCAUUUGGAACAUCGAGGGAGCUACGUCAGAAUGCUCUUCAUCAACUUCAGGUUCAUCUUCAACACAGCUAUCCCCAACUGCAGAAUAGAAAACGCUGAAAACGCUCUCUAAGACCAUGCACGAACACUCGGGAAUUGAUAAUCCGCUGGAGGGCUGGAUGACUUCGGUCUUCGGACAGUGGAAAGGGUUUGUACUUUCAAUUAUGCUUUCAUUGGUUGUGCUGGUGGGCAUUUUGGUGACCUGUGGCUGUUGUCUCAUUCCUUGUGCCCGAGCUCUGUUAGAAAAGGUGAUUACGAAGGCGGUGGACUCGGGAGCAGAAGCCCACAUGCCCAUGAUGCCCUUGAUGGACAUGGGAGUCGCUGUGUGGGACGAGGAGUGACGCACCUGAAAGUAUGGUGACCUCUGGUCAGCCAGAGGUCAAAAGGGGGAAUGAGGGGUCUGACAAAAUGCUUUUGCCAUUAUGUAAUCUGUAAUUUCCACAUAGUAUGCUGAUCAGUGUGAUUUUCAAUGAUUAAACUGUAAUAGAGACGAGCAAACAUAGUGGCAGAUCUGAGAGGAAAAACCCUUUGUUAUGAAAAUGAUUUUAAUCUUUUAUACAUGAUUGCAUUUGAGCUUAUUAAAGAGCUGUGGCUCCUGGUCCAGUGAGGGUCAGAAACUCUUGGCAGGCGUUAAUGAUCA